rnacentral:misc_RNA from 1 species
GAUGAAGAACGCAGCGAAAUGCGAUAAGUAAUGUGAAUUGCAGAGUUCAGUGAAUCAUCGAAUCUUUGAACGCACCUUGCGCCCUUUGGCCAUUCCGAAGGGCAUGCCUGUUUGAGUAUCAUGAACACCUCAACUCUUCAUGGUUUUCCGUGAUGAGCUUGGACUUUGGGGGUCUUGCUGGCCUAUGGUCAGCUCCUCUAAAAUAAAUCAGCUUGCCAGUGUUUGGUGGGUAUCACAGGUGUGAUAACUAUCUACGCUUGUGGUUUUCCACCAGGUAACCUUCAGCAGUGGAGGUUCGCUGGAGCUCACAGAUGUGUCUCUCCUCAGUGAGGACAGCUCUUUGAAUGUUUGAUCUCAAAUCAGGUAGGACUACCCGCUGAACUUAAGCAUAUCAAUAAGCGGAGGA